rnacentral:rRNA from 1 species
CCUACGGGAGGCAGCAGUGGGGAAUAUUGGACAAUGGGGGCAACCCUGAUCCAGCCAUGCCGCGUGUGUGAAGAAGGCCCUCGGGUUGUAAAGCACUUUCAGUGAGGAAGAACGCCUGGUGGUUAAUACCCAUCAGGAAAGACAUCACUCACAGAAGAAGCACCGGCUAACUCCGUGCCAGCAGCCGCGGUAAUACGGAGGGUGCGAGCGUUAAUCGGAAUUACUGGGCGUAAAGCGCGCGUAGGUGGCUUGAUAAGCCGGUUGUGAAAGCCCCGGGCUCAACCUGGGAACGGCAUCCGGAACUGUCAAGCUAGAGUGCAGGAGAGGAAGGUAGAAUUCCCUGUGUAGCGGUGAAAUGCGUAGAGAUCGGGAGGAAUACCAGUGGCGAAGGCGGCCUUCUGGACUGACACUGACACUGAGGUGCGAAAGCGUGGGUAGCAAACAGGAUUAGAUACCCCAGUAGUC